AGUGCAUCACAGAGUUGGAAAAAACACACACAAAAAAACUGACACUGCAUAUUUACAUUUGCCCCAAGAGAACUGGUACUUCCAGAUUUUGUGACAAAAUCUAAUACUUUGAAGGAAAUUUGAUCUUUUUGACAGUUCUACUGAGUUAUCAUCUCAAAAAGCAGAAAGAAUUUUACCACUUUCAAGAAGAAGAGACAAGCAAUUAUUAGGAGCAGUUCGGAUGCACAGCUAAGGAACCAAACAGCUUAUAGAUUGCCAGGCAGCGUCCUCUCUGGCUCAGAGCAGCAGCUCUCAUUGCUUUUGUACUUCUCCUGCGGAUCAUUCAUAAAGACCUACCAACAUGGCCUUCUGCUGAUAUUUAUCAGUUGGUUAUAGGUCCUGCCAGCUAUUUGGUAGUUCCAGAUGUUUGAGGAUCCAGAGCAGCUGGAAUUCUAUAUGAAUGCUCCUUAAAUUCAAGUAGAACUUAAUAGAAGACUGCUGUACAAUUUUAUUAGAUAAAUAAGAGCCUUCCAAUAAAAAAUAAAAAGAAAAAUGAAAUAUAUAUAUAUAGAAGCCAUGAAUUAAUUGUCUGUGACUUGUUCAAAC
rnacentral:lncRNA from 1 species